rnacentral:rRNA from 1 species
GCGUGGGUGAAGAAGGCCUUCGGGUUGUAAAGCCCUUUCGGCGGAGACGAAACGGUUUGCACUAACACUGCAGACUAAUGACGGUAUCCGCAGAAGAAGCACCGGCUAACUACGUGCCAGCAGCCGCGGUAAUACGUAGGGUGCGGGCGUUAAUCGGAAUUACUGGGCGUAAAGCGUGCGCAGGCGGUUUGUUAAGACAGAUGUGAAAUCCCCGGGCUUAACCUGGGAACUGCGUUUGUUACUGGCAAGCUGGAGUGUGGCAGAGGGGGGUGGAAUUCCAAGUGUAGCAGUGAAAUGCGU